AUUUACUAUAUACUAAUUCUCAACGCACUGUUCAUCGGCUUAUGAACAGUGCCGGCUCCAGCCGAGCCGAUAUAGUAAAAGACGAUUUUGCCCCCGACUGCGUUUCUUGCCUCAACACCCGGCGUACUGCUCAGUCCUAUCGUGUCUUCGCUACUUCAAUCCACAGAGAGGUGGAGAGAGAGAGAGAGAAACAGCGAAGGUGGUACUGUUUGAAUUUCGGUGCAUGCAAUUCUGGGUGAAAACAGAAUACCGAGUUCACUGAUGGUGGUAUUUUGUUAUCUGUAGAGGACUGAAAUCGGAGAGGAGGAAGGGAGAAUUUAUCAAGGCCUAGAAAGGUGGUUGUUUGUGAAUUUUUCAGAAUGGAAUAGCAGAGAAGAAUUGCUGUUAAUGGUGGAGGAGGGAGAUGCAAUUGAAAAUCAGAGAAAGAAAGAUAAGAAGAAGCUUGAAGUAGAGAAAUCAAAGAAGAUGCUUCUGCAAUUAUUUGGGUUAAUCCUUUCUUCUCAAUCUACUGUGGAAUGAGGGGUUGAUAAGAAAUCAAGCAGUGUUGCUUCAGAGCCAAACUCAAAGAGUUUUGAGUAUGUGACCAAGGGCUUCAAAUGACCGUUCUGAUGAUGAAGGAGGGACUGACAAGAGGAAUGGUGUUAAGGCAAGGAACAAGUACCAUCCCCCGAUGUUGCUGAAGGGACAUCAAUUUAAAAAUGCUUCUUUGCUGGCAGACUUGGCUGGUGCAAGGGUUAUUACUAUUAGAUGAUCUUGAUUCGACAACCCUUGGAAAUGCAAUUGAAGAGAUGUUAGGGGAUGAGAGUAAAAUGGAAGAUAUAUUCUAGAGGGGCUCUGAGAGCUGCAAACUCCAAUACCUCUGUACAGAUUGCACAACACGUCAUUUCUCUAACCAGCUUAUAAUGAGGAAAGAAGAAGUAGACUUAAAGUUGGUUUAUACGCUAUGUAAGUCAUAGAUCCAGCUUCCAUCUUUUUGGAGCCUGAGGACUAUCGCGCGUGGGUAGAGUGAAGGUACCUCCAAGGGGAAGGACACUGCAAUCAGAGACCAAGCUUCAGUGCUUUGACCCUGUAACGAUGAAAUACUUGGGAUAUUAUCCUGCAUUGACACCUGAUGUGGUUGGUUUUUUCUUUUUUUUGUGUACAUUUGGCUUGGGGUUGUGGAUUGGUGUAGUGAACAUGUAGUAAGCUGUUAUGGAGUCUUUGCUAACUUCUAAAUGGAUGGGUUCAUUUGAUAAUGAUGUUAGGGUCAAGGAGGGGGUAGCACAAGCAAGUAAGGCACAGAAAACAUGGGCAAAGAGUAGCUUCAAGCAAAGAAACCUGUUUCUUCGGAUUAUUCUCAAGUAUAUAAUAGAACACCAAGGGGCUACCAAGUAAGGCACAGAAAACAUGGGCAAAGAGUAGCUUCAAGCAACAAAACCUGUUUCUUCGGAUUAUUCUCAAGUAUAUAAUAGAACACCAAGACCUUAUAUGUGAGAGUUCAGUUAGAAAGAAAUCAAUUAAUAAUUGUUAUA